rnacentral:lncRNA from 1 species
AUGCUAAAGAUGAUUGUGGAUUGUUUAUGCUAACGAUGUAUUCUAGGGUUUAUAAAUUAUAAUCAUGACAGAUAUGACGGCUGAAUUUUUGUGCUUGUUCGUUGAAUCGAAGUUCUACAGGGAAAUGGAAUUUGCUUCAAAUGCCAAAAAAACACUGGCUUUGUUCCCAUGGUUAAAUGGCCUCUUUUUCUUCUAGCCAGCAAGAUAUUCGUUGAUGCAACAUUUGGCGGCAGAGAGUGACUCACAAAUACAAUUGUGGGAAAGGAUUUCGAGAGACGAUUACAUGAAAUAUGCUGUUGAAGAGUGUUUUACACCAUCAAGCUGAUUUUGACCUCAAUUUUUGACAAUGAUGGCAAAGAGUGGGUUAAUAGAAUAUAUGAUGAAAUUCGAGGAAGUAUAGUGAAAGGAGCAACUGUCUCUUGUUACUCAGAAAGUUACUACACUAACAGGAAUUUUGAAAGAAGUUGGGACACUUGAACUGGAGACUGGUGCGAUUAAUGUUGCGCUAGAUCUUUACGAUGUUAUCCAGCUUGGUUUUUUUAGUGUAAAUAUGAGAGAAAAUUAUGCCACAUGGAAUAUGUUGAUAAAAGCAUGGAAGGAAGGCCGUUUGUUUCAAAGAUUAAGUGGCCAAGAGACCCUGAAUUGAAGUUACAAAUUCGGAGGCUACACUCACUCUUCACUAUCAAAGAUUCAGCAGUAAACGUCCCUAGAAACCUAGACACUAGACGUAGGUUGGAGUUCUUCACAAAUUCACUUUUCAUGAACAUGCCUAGACCCCAACCUGUUCGGGA